rnacentral:rRNA from 1 species
AGCGAACGCUGGCGGCAGGCCUAACACAUGCAAGUCGAACGAACUCUUCGGAGUUAGUGGCGGACGGGUGAGUAACACGUGGGAACGUGCCUUUAGGUUCGGAAUCACUCAGGGAAACUUGUGCUCAUACCGAAUGUGCCCUUCGGGGGAAAGAUUUAUCGCCUUUAGAGCGGCCCGCGUCUGAUUCGCUAGUUGGUGAGGUAAAGGCUCACCAAGGCGACGAUCAGUAGCUGGUCUGAGAGGAUGAUCAGCCACAUUGGGACUGAGACACGGCCCAAACUCCUACGGGAGGCAGCAGUGGGGAAUCUUGCGCAAUGGGCGAAAGCCUGACGCAGCCAUGCGGCGUGAAUGAUGAAGGUCUUAGGAUUGUAAAAUUCUUUCACCGGGGACGAUAAUGACGGUACCCGGAGAAGAAGCCCCGGCUAACUACGUG